GCAUGUCUUAAGCAUGAACGAAAAGUAACGUGAAGCCCGCGAAUAGCUCAUUACAACAGCCGUUGUUUCUUGGAUCUCCGCCAAUACUUGGAUAACUGUGGUAAUUCUAGAGCUAAUACACGCAAUCGAGCCUCGACCUUACGGGACAGGCGCAUUUAUUAGAACAAAACCAAUCGGCUGCUCUGCAGCUGUUGCUUGGUGAAUCUGAAUAACUUAGCUGAUCGCUUCGGUCUUUGUACCGGCGACAUAUCUUUCAAGUGUCUGCCUUAUCAACUUUCGACGGUAGUUUAUGUGCCUACCGUGGUUGUAACGGGUAACGGAGAAUAAGGGUUCGACUCCGGAGAGGGAGCCUGAGAAACGGCUACCACUUCUAAGGAAGGCAGCAGGCGCGCAAAUUACCCACUCUCGGCACGAGGAGGUAGUGACGAAAAAUAACAAGGCGCUGCUCUUGAGAGUAGCGCCAUUGGAAUGAGAACAAUCCAAACCCUUUAACGAGGACCUAGCGGAGGGCAAGUCUGGUGCCAGCAGCCGCGGUAAUUCCAGCUCCGCCAGUGUAUAUCUAUGCUGCUGCGGUUAAAAAGCUCGUAGUUGGAUCUGCGUGUCAUCGAACCGGUCCGGCUCUGCGCCGUGUACUGGCUUCGGACACUUGUGCGUCGGUUUUCUUCUGAUGCCCUUAACCGGGUGUCUUAAGUGGCCGGCAGGUUUACUUUGAAAAAAUUAGAGUGCUCAAAACAAGCGUUUCGCUUGAAUAGUGGUGCAUGGAAUAAUAGAAUAGG
rnacentral:rRNA from 1 species